AUGUCGCCGGCGGAGAUGGUCCAGGUGGAGGCGGCGGCGGAUCCUGAGGAGCGCGCCGCCUCCGGCGACCCCAAGGCCUGCGACGACUGCAACACCACCAAGACGCCGCUCUGGCGCGGCGGACCCAACGGACCAAAGUCGCUGUGCAACGCUUGCGGGAUCCGGUACCGGAAGAGGCGGCGGGUGGCCAUGGGGCUCGACCCGGAGGCCAAGCGGAAGCCCAAGAGGGACGACGCCAUCAAGGCUGCCGUUGCCGCAGCCGAGGCCGCCCAGGCUUCUAGCAAGGAGGAGGAGGAGGAGGAGGAGGACAAGGCCAAGGCCGGCGAGGAGAAGGCCGGCGAGGAGAAGGCGAGCAAGAAGACUAAGGCGAGGACGACGCACACCGUUGAGCUCCACAUGGUGGGCUUUGCCAAGGACGCGGUGCUGAAGCAGCAGCGGCGGCGGCGACAGAUGCGGCGGAGGAAGCCGUCGUGCCUGGGCGAGGAGGAGCGGGCCGCCAUUCUCCUCAUGUCGCUCUCAUCAGGCGUAAUAUACGCCUGA
rnacentral:rRNA from 1 species